rnacentral:rRNA from 1 species
CGGACGGCUGAGUAACGCGUAGGUGACCUGCCCCGAAGUGGGGGAUAACUGCCCGAAAGGGUGGCUAAUACCGCAUGUGGAGGUUCGUUCAUUCGAACCUUCAAAGCAGCAAUGCGCUUCGGGAGGGGCCUGCGUCCGAUUAGCUCGUUGGUGGGGUAACGGCUCACCAAGGCGACGAUCGGUAGGUGGUCUGAGAGGACGAUCACCCAGACUGGGGCUGAGACACGGCCCAG